UACGGGGGGGGCAAGCGUUGUUCGGAAUUACUGGGCGUAAAGGGCUCGUAGGCGGCCAACUAAGUCAGACGUGAAAUCCCUCGGCUUAACCGGGGAACUGCGUCUGAUACUGGAUGGCUUGAGAUUGGGAGAGGGAUGCGGAAUUCCAGGUGUAGCGGUGAAAUGCGUAGAUAUCGGAGGAACACCGGUGGCGAAGGCGACAUCCUGGACCAACACUGACGCUGAGGAGCGAAAGCCAGGGGAGCAAACGGG
rnacentral:rRNA from 1 species